rnacentral:rRNA from 1 species
CCUACGGGAGGCAGCAGUGGGGAAUAUUGGACAAUGGGGGCAACCCUGAUCCAGCCAUGCCGCGUGUGUGAAGAAGGCCCUCGGGUUGUAAAGCACUUUCAGUGAGGAAGAACGCCUGGUGGUUAAUACCCUUCAGGAAAGACAUCACUCACAGAAGAAGCACCGGCUAACUCCGUGCCAGCAGCCGCGGUAAUACGGAGGGUGCGAGCGUUAAUCGGAAUUACUGGGCGUAAAGCGCGCGUAGGUGGCUUGAUAAGCCGGUUGUGAAAGCCCCGGGCUCAACCUGGGAACGGCAUCCGGAACUGUCAAGCUAGAGUGCAGGAGAGGAAGGUAGAAUUCCCGGUGUAGCGGUGAAAUGCGUAGAGAUCGGGAGGAAUACCAGUGGCGAAGGCGGCCUUCUGGACUGACACUGACACUGAGGUGCGAAAGCGUGGGUAGCAAACAGGAUUAGAUACCCCUGUAGUC